CUGGCCUGACAGACAAUGCAAGACUUAAUGCUGGGCAGGACAUGAAGUUGAUCUAAGAGCAAAGGUAAUAGCUAAAUAACCCAAAUCCCUGCAUGCUUUGAAGGGUUUUUUCCAGUGUUGGAAGCUCUCAGUCACAAGGUUUGGUGUACACGAGAUCCCCUGUUCAGAAACCAGGUAAAAUAAAAUCACUGCUCCCACUGCUGAAAGGCUGCAUUUCCGCCAUUCUCUGCCAGCAGUUAGGGGAAGAACGCUGUGCUGACUCACUAAUCGCCAGGUACUCAGGUAUUUCCUCCUGAUCCAAAUUAUGAAACCAUGCCUGGUGAUGAAUAAGGAUGUGGAAUUCAUGAGCUCAGAAGAGAAGCAGUAGUGUGUAGUGCCUCCCACCUCCUCCCACCAUGAGACCCAUGGCUUUGAUCUCAGUCUUAUGUGGCUUUUUUUAGGGGAGAUGUAAACAAAUGCUCAUUCAUUUCAGAAAGGCACCAAUGACAGUCCAGAAACAACAACAAAAAUCAAACAAACAAACAACAAAACCCACUCUAAUCUACCAGGUAAACCAAUAUCCUUAUUGAGGUUGCUUAGGGAUGCAUUGGUGACUCAAAUGUACUAUGUUGCUGAAAAGUCUGCCCAAACAUGGGACUUAGCUCACUAUAGCUCACACCUCUCCCUCGAGCUCUCUGCCCUACUUGUGGGCAGCUCCACCAAAGACAAGCUCCUGUUUCCCAGUAUUGCUCAAUGCUUUUGUAACCUUGGGUAUCAUGAGUCUUGGAACUGUCUGAGAUUCCUGAGACUUACAAGCCUCCCAUUCCAUUAAGACGUGAUUCAGGCUUUAAUUCAGAGGUAAUAACUACACGAAUGAUUUUGUGUCAGCUUUUCUGCUGCUGCAAUAAAUACCUGAGAUAAUCAAUGAGAGAGAUACUAUCGAGGGUCUAUUCCAUGAUAUUGUCCAUUGCUUUUGGGUCUGUGGUGAGGAAGCACAUGAUGGCAUGAAUGCAUGGUAGAGCAAGAUCAAUUCACUACAGGCCCAGGAUAUAGCCUACAGGAAGUGGAAAGAGCUGGGUUCUACUAAGG
rnacentral:lncRNA from 1 species